rnacentral:rRNA from 1 species
AGCGAACGCUGGCGGCAGGCCUAACACAUGCAAGUCGAACGAACCUUUCGGGGUUAGUGGCGGACGGGUGAGUAACACGUGGGAACGUGCCUUUAGGUUCGGAAUAACUCAGGGAAACUUGUGCUAAUACCGAAUGUGCCCUUCGGGGGAAAGAUUAAUCGCCUUUAGAGCGGCCCGCGUCUGAUUAGCUAGUUGGUUGAGGUAAUGGCUCACCAAGGCGACGAUCAGUAGCUGGUCUGAGAGGAUGAUCAGCCACAUUGGGACUGAGACACGGCCCAAACUCCGACGGGAGGCAGCAGUGGGGAAUCUUGCGCAAUGGGCGAAAGCCUGACGCAGCCAUGCCGCGUGAAUGAUGAAGGUCUUAGGAUUGUAAAAUUCUUUCACCGGGGACGAUAAUGGCGGUACCCGGAGAAGAAGCCCCGGCUAACUUCGUG